rnacentral:rRNA from 1 species
ACGGAAGGCAGCAGUGGGGAAUAUUGCACAAUGGGGGAAACCCUGAUGCAGCGACGCCGCGUGAGUGAAGAAGUAUUUCGGUAUGUAAAGCUCUAUCAGCAGGAAAGAAAAUGACGGUACCUGACUAAGAAGCCCCGGCUAACUACGUGCCAGCAGCCGCGGUAAUACGUAGGGGGCAAGCGUUAUCCGGAUUUACUGGGUGUAAAGGGAGCGUAGACGGCUUUGCAAGUCUGAAGUGAAAGCCCGGGGCUCAACCCCGGAACUGCUUUGGAAACUGUAGAGCUAGAUUGCAGGAGAGGUAAGUGGAAUUCCUAGUGUAGCGGUGAAAUGCGUAGAUAUUAGGAGGAACACCAGUGGCGAAGGCGGCUUACUGGACUGUAACUGACGUUGAGGCUCGAAGGCGUGGGGAGCAAACAGGAUUAGAUACCCUGGUA